GUUGAUAGGCUGGGUGUGUAAGUGCAGCGAUGCAUUGAGCUAACCAGUACUAAUGAUCCGUGAGGCUUAACCUUACAACACCGAAGGUGUU
rnacentral:rRNA from 2 species